rnacentral:rRNA from 1 species
AUUGAACGCUGGCGGCAGGCCUAACACAUGCAAGUCGAAUGGUAACAGGAAACAGCUUGCUGUUUCGCUGACGAGUGGCGGACGUGUGAGUAAUGUCUGGGAAACUUCCUGAUGGAGGGGGAUAACUACUGGAAACGGUAGCUAAUACCGCAUAACGUCGCAAGACCAAAGAGGGGGACCUUCGGGCCUCUUGCCAUCAGAUGUGCCCAGAUGGGAUUAGCUAGUAGGUGGGGUAACGGCUCACCUAGGCGACGAUCCCUAGCUGGUCUGAGAGGAUGACCAGCCACACUGGAACUGAGACACGGUCCAGACUCCUACGGGAGGCAGCAGUGGGGAAUAUUGCACAAUGGGCGCAAGCCUGAUGCAGCCAUGCCGCGUGUAUGAAGAAGGCCUUCGGGUUGUAAAGUACUUUCAGCGGGGAGGAAGGGAGUAAAGUUAAUACCUUGGCUCAUUGACGUUACCCGCAGAAGAAGCACCGGCUAACUCCGUG